CGCGCGCGGCGGUUGGCGGUGACCCGUUGGGGCCUGGUGGAGGUGCCGAGCCUGGGGACGCGUGACUGUGGACAGGAGGCUGGGAGGGGUUAACUGGAGGAAGCCUCCCCCGGGCGGCUGGUGGCCCGCAGCUGGGAGACGUGGCACUUUGACUCGAUUCUCCCUCUGCCCAGUCCUGCUUCUCCUUCCACUGGCAUUGGUUCCAGAAGCACUUCCUUAUAUGCUGAUCUAUCUCAAAGUCUGCUUCCCAGAAAACCCAGCCUGUAACAAAGAUAAUGAGUAAGCUUCCCUGAGAAGACGCCCAUGUGCUAAGAAACUGAGGGUGGACACCUACCAACAGCCAACAAGAAAGCAAGACCCUCAGUCUAAGAACCAGGAAGAACUGAAUCCUGCCAACCACCACAUGAGUUUGGAAACAGAUCCUUCUCUGGUUGAGCAUCAGAUGAGACCCCAGUGCUGGCCAACACCUUCUGAGAGACCCUAGUGCAGAGCAGCCAGUUAAGCUGUGUCCAUAUUCCUGACCCACAGAGACUGUGAGAUAAUAAAUGUGUAUCUUUUCUGUCUGCUAAA